rnacentral:ncRNA from 23 species
GGUAGAGUAGGUGUCUCGCGUUAAGUGCCAAGGGAUGGGACGUUGCCCUUGGACGAAAGCUAUUAAGAGCUGCGUUGGGACAUCGCGUUCGCUAUC